UAGUCAUUGUUGACAUUUUUUUCAAAUAGCGUAGUAGCGAAGAAGUGUACGAAAACAAGUUCCUUACGAAUCCUACGUUAUUUAUUUAGGAUGAUUGUGAUUUUUCAUUUAUUUGCGAAUCUGUUUUAUAACCUCUGCAAACGGCGAAUUAACGCUAGAAAUUCGUCAUGGAGCAAUUUCACCCUAACCAAACUAAAUGUAGAUAAAAGCCCCUUAGCUCAACGAGAUGCCGAAAACGACAUCAAAUUCGACCCUCCUGUGUAUAAACAGAGAUACCAGCGAGCAGUCGAAUUGCUUUUGCACGAGAAGUGGAAAGAUCAGUUGGUUAAAGUAGUGGAUUUCGGCUGCGGAGAAUUCGGCCUUUUCGUCUUCCUGAAAAACGUGGUACCGGCAAGGGAAAUCGUGUUUAUUGAUGUUGACGAGUUUUUAAUAAGCGACUAUUUGUACAAAGUUUAUCCCUUGAACGCCGACUAUUUAACUAAAAGGCAGGACCCUUUGAAUGUUAAAGUUUUUGCAGGAAGCAUUGCAUAUCCUGAUGAGAAUUUACUAGGCACGGAUGCUGUAGUCUCCCUUGAAGUAAUUGAACAUCUGUAUCCAGACACUUUGGACGCUCUUCCAUAUAAUCUGUUUGCAUAUGUUGUUCCAAAAGUAGUGAUAGUCACAACACCUAACGCCGAUUUCAACGUCCUGUUUGAAAAUCUACACACUUUCCGACAUUCUGAUCAUAAAUUUGAAUGGACAAGAGAACAGUUUGAGUCAUGGGCCACAAAUAUAACAUUACGUUUUCCGCGUUACACAGUCCAGUUUGAUGGUGUCGGUUUAGGUCCUACUGGGUGUGAAAGCUGUGGCCAGUGCUCACAGCUCGCCAUAUUUAUACGUAAAGAUAUUAUCUGUGAUAAAGGGGUAGAAGUUGCUACACCUUGCACUUGCAAGACAAGUACCUGCAGAUCAAACUCUCAAGAUGGUCUUUGUUGCCUUUGCGAAUGCCAAAGCUGUCUGCCUAAGUAUUCUUUCGGGAUCUGUACAUAUAAUUCUAAGGAUGUAUUUAGAGUGAAUGGACAGAACAAGGACUUCAAAUUAAUCAAAAGUAUUAAGUACCCUGUUGACACAGAUACUAGAACGGCGGAAGAAAAAAUUGUAGAUGAGCUUAAGUACAGGAUGCAUCUUUGUGGAAGCGCGAACGAAUUGUAUUACAAUUACGAGAGAGAUCGUAUCGAGAUACCGCUGGAGAGAUUGGUUUACGUGACUUCUGGACCGUUUCCAUCAAAGUCCGAAAUUAAGUCUAUUUUGUUGAAACACAAUUAUCAAAUCGAAGAAUGCCAGAGCCAAGACACUAAGCAAGUGGAAACUUGUGUGAUAUAUGAAAUGGAAAACGGUGCUUCUGGCAGUGACACAGAAGCUUCAGGUUAUGAAUCAGAUAAAUAUGACACAGAUGAUGGCCACAUGUCCGACUGGGAAGACACAGACCUAACAACGUGGACCGACCCAGCUAACAAAGAUGAAAAACGUGUAUCUCAUAAAGGUGUUAAAGCUCAACUCCACUUGGAAGUCAACGGCAGCCGCAAACAACAAGGGGCCUUAUUCGAUUCAGGCUAUCAGAAAUCUCCAUCAGUACCCGACGAGUCCCCACAGUCAGUGUCCGCAGUCAAUAAAGAAGUAAUUCCUUUAGAAUUCAAAAACCCAAACCUCGAAAAACCCAACAGACUAUCAAAUAUCCUUUCAGUAUUUGAUAAUUUUGACAAAAUAAAUGAGUUAGAUGCGAUUCAUAAAGACAAGAAGUACUUUAAUUUUUCGUCGAAUCUUCCACACAAGGAAGUGAUGAAAAAACUUUGUCAAGAAAUCGCCAAGCAUCCCGUUGCUGGUCCAUCCCGCGACCGAAAAAAUAAGCACUUGAAAAAAUCCAACUCGUCCGAUAGCGACGAAUCCGUUGAAGACGUCAAAUCAAUCACCACUUGCAUUCUAGAAAACUCUUUAAAUAAACUCGAAUUUCAAGAUGAGCCACCACGGGGCGACGUAAUCCAAGAGCUGAUAGAACCGGCAGCUCCGGAGCCCCUAGUUCAGCACAACGAAGUCAUCGAACCCGUCGUGUUGGUCGAAAACGGUGAUCUAGCUAACAAUAACAGGGAUCUAGAAGGCAACAAUUACCCCGCCGAGAAUAUCGAGAACCCAGAACCAGAAAACGACAACGCGAUCGAUAAUCUGGAUCCUAAUAACGUCAACGUCGACAACAACAACGAAAUCGCCGAAGCGGUGGUCGAAGAGCCCGUGGCGGAGGAGCGCGUGGAAGAAAACGCGGAAGUGGAGCCACCGGAAAACGUGGAGGCGGAGUGGUCGAGCAGGGAGGCGCUUUUUGAUGCGAAUUCCCAGGUGGAUCUAUUGGAGGAGUUUGAAGUGGGGUCGGCCGCUCCGGCAGUGAACACUCUAGUGUUCCCCAGCAAUUGCAUCGUGAUUGCUGAGAACAUCAAUAACGUUAGUGAAGCAGUUCUACCUCCUGAAGAAAGCGGCUUUCCUAAUUGGUUGUUGCAGAUAUUUGAGGAAGGCGAUGCACCUGAAGACGAUCUACACGAUGAACCCCACUUCUAUUGUCAGGGCGAUGGGCUAGGUAUGACCAGUUUUACGUGAACAUUGAAGAUGUAGCCUUGAAUGGAAUAGGUAUUUCAUUUGUAGCGCCAGUAGAAGGUACUAAGUGAGAGCCGGCGUUAGUUUUUGUGAUACUUGUUUUUCUUCUUUGUAUUUUUUUUUAGUUCAAACACACAAAGGGUUUGCUUUGUUUUGUGUAGUUGUUGUAAUUAAGGUGGACUGUAAAAAUACCCUUAAGUUUAAGUAGUUGCUUUCUGACUAUAAAUUUAAGCAAGGUACCACGAGGGUACUCGCACUUAUUUUUAUAUUUUUUGUUUUUCUAAUUUGUAGCACAUUGGAUAUGUAUUCUCAGAACAUUAUUUUUGUAUUCACCAAAAUUUUACUGCCUUGUGAAGUUAAAGACGGUAAUAACUAAAGAGCGGAUUUAUAUGCACACGUAUUUGUCAAAAUAUGCCGAUAUAUGCACAAAAUUUCUUUGAAAUAUGCACAGUUUUAUGCAAUUUACUUCUGACAACUCGGAAAGAAAGAAUAAAAACUACAAACAAAAAAACCAGAAAUGUCUAUAAUUAUAUUUAUUAAUGUAACAUAUUUUUAUAUAAAGCAUAAAUAAUACGCUGUAAACUACACAUUUUUUUGCUGUUAUAAUUAACAGUCAGAUGUUGUGUAAAUUUUCCAUUGUACUAUUUACUUUUUUAUAUACAGAAUGGCCUAUUUUUCCUGACAUAUUCAAAGUAUUGAUUUGAAAUUUUGUGGUUAUAAAAAUGACGUUUUGAGUGUACUCUAAGACAACAUAAGCGUAGUGUAGUUAUUUUAGAUAGAUUACUAGAGCCUGUAGAACACAUUUAAACUAUUGUAAUAAUAAGCAUAAUCAACUCUACAAAAUUAUUUUAAAUGCAUGUUAACUUGAUAUUAUUUUUUAAUUUUCGUGCACCAAUGUACCAUUUUGCAAAGUAGUUAACAAACUUUUAUUAGCAAAUUUUUAUAUAUAGAAUUUAUUAUUUCACGAGUAAGUUAAAACCAUGCAAUAUUGAUAAAAAAGAGACUGCUAAAUUGGCGACUGAUUUUUUGCAGACUUCUUUAUUGUGAAAAUAAACAAUAGAUAUGUUUUCUAAUGUAGAACAAAAAAAAACGUGUUUGAAAAGUAUGUAUUUUAACACACAAGUAGCAUAAGAAGACAGAAAACGCGAAGUAGAAAUGCGGAAAACAAGAAAAUAUCUCUCAGGAGUACACCCUUCCACAAUUGCCAUAAACGACGACGCCGACGACGAGGGCAACGACUCUGGUUCUUCCGAUGAUUCUUCCAAUUC